AAGGCGUAACAAGGUUUCCGUAGGUGAACCUGUGAAGGAUCAUUAACACAAAACUACCGUUAAACCCCCUGUGAACUUUCAUCGUGCUCUGCAUCCUAGGACAGUGUUCUGAAAGUGUCACUGACGGUGUCAGAAAGCUUCACGGUAGGCCGAACACCGGCCGGCGUCAUGGUCACCGGGCUUACGUCCCAUCGAACAACCGAGUUACGUAUGUCUCCUCGACACAGCAAGUGCACCGUCGCGGGAGAAAAACGAACAACUGUUAACAAUGGACAUCUUGCUUCUC
rnacentral:misc_RNA from 1 species